GAUGAACGCUGGCGGCGUGCCUAAUACAUGCAAGUCGAGCGAACGGACGAGAAGCUUGCGUCUCUGAUGUUAGCGGCGGGCGGGUGAGUAACACGUGGAUAACCUACCUAUAAGACUGGGAUAACUUCGGGAAACCGUAGCUAAUACCGGAGAAUAUUUUGAACCGCAUGGUGCAAAAGUGAAAGACGGUCUUGCUGUCACUUAUAGAUGGAUCCGCGCUGCAUUAGCUAGUUGGUAAGGUAACGGCUUACCAAGGCAACGAUGCAUAGCCGACCUCAGAGGCUGAUCGGCGACCUGGGAACUGAGCCACGGUCCAGACUCCUACGGGAGGCAGCAGUAGGGAACCUUCCGCAAUGGGCGAAAGCCUGACGGAGCAACGCCGCGUGAGUGAUGAAGGUCUUCGGAUCGUAAAACUCUGUUAUUAGUGAAGAACAUAUGUGGAAGUAACUGUGCACAUCUUGACGGUACCUAAUCAGAAAGCCACGGCUAACUACGUG
rnacentral:rRNA from 1 species